rnacentral:rRNA from 1 species
AUACGGAGGGUGCGAGCGUUAAUCGGAAUUACUGGGCGUAAAGCGCGCGUAGGCGGCUUUGUAAGUCGGAUGUGAAAGCCCUGGGCUCAACCUGGGAAUUGCACUCGAUACUGCAGAGCUAGAGUAUGGUAGAGGGAAGUGGAAUUUCCGGUGUAGCGGUGAAAUGCGUAGAUAUCGGAAGGAACACCAGUGGCGAAGGCGACUUCCUGGGCCAAUCCUGACGUUGAGGUGCGAAAGCGUGGGGAGCAAACAGGAUUAGAAACCCCAGUAGUCC